GUCCGGGUGGCGGAAUUGGUAGACGCGCUAGCUUGAGGUGCUAGUGCCCGGUUACGGGCAUGGGGGUUCAAGUCCCCCCUCGGACACCA
rnacentral:tRNA from 1 species